CGACAGACCCCCUCCCUUCCUCUUGCGGAAUGGCGGAAAUCUAAUCCAACAUCGAGGUCGCAAACAUGUUUGUCAAUUUGAGCUUUCAAAACAUAUUACGCUGUUAUCCCUAAAGUAACUUAUUUAACUUUCAAAAAUUUUGGGUAUUAAAAAUAAUGUCAUUUAUAUAUUUUAAAAGUGUUUUCUUCUUACCGCCCCAGUAAAACAUAUUUUUAAUUUAUUAAAUUAUUUUAUGUAAAGCUUUAUAGGGUCUUCUUGUCUAAAAGAAACAUUUUAGCCUUUUUACUAAAAAGUAAAUUUCAAAAGAAAAAGCCAAGAAAGAAACUUUCUAGUUUAUCCCUUCAUUCCAGUCUUAAAUUAUAAGACUA
rnacentral:rRNA from 1 species